UACGGAGGGGGCGAGCGUUAUUCGGAAUCAUUGGGCGUAAAGGGCGCGUAGGCGGUUCGUUAAGUCCUGUGUGAAAUCCCCCGGCUCAACUGGGGAACUGCACAGGAAACUAGCGGGCUUGAGUUCGGGAGAGGGAAGCGGAAUUCCGGGUGUAGCGGUGAAAUGCGUAGAUAUCUGGAGGAACACCGGUGGCGAAGGCGGCUACGCUGGGACGGUACUGACGCUGAGACGCGAAAGCGUGGGGAGCGAACAGG
rnacentral:rRNA from 1 species